rnacentral:rRNA from 1 species
GUGGGGAAUAUUGGACAAUGGGCGAAAGCCUGAUCCAGCCAUGCCGCGUGUGUGAAGAAGGUCUUCGGAUUGUAAAGCACUUUAAGUUGGGAGGAAGGGCAGUAAGUUAAUACCUUGCUGUUUUGACGUUACCGACAGAAUAAGCACCGGCUAACUUCGUGCCAGCAGCCGCGGUAAUACGAAGGGUGCAAGCGUUAAUCGGAAUUACUGGGCGUAAAGCGCGCGUAGGUGGUUUUGUAAGGUGGAGGUGAAAUCCCCGGGCUCAACCUGGGAACUGCCUCCAAAACUACUGAGCUAGAGUACGGUAGAGGGUAGUGGAAUUUCCUGUGUAGCGGUGAAAUGCGUAGAUAUAGGAAGGAACACCAGUGGCGAAGGCGACUACCUGGACUGAUACUGACACUGAGGUGCGAAAGCGUGGGGAGCAAACAGGAUUAGAAACCCCAGUAGUCC